rfam:Ciona savignyi cont_31079, whole genome shotgun sequence.
GUCGUCGUGGCCGAGUGGUUAAGGCGACAUACUUGAAAUCUGUUGGGCUCUGCCCGCACAGGUUCGAAUCCUGUCGGCGACG